rnacentral:rRNA from 1 species
GAUGAACGCUGGCGGCGUGCCUAAUACAUGCCAGUCAAGCGAACAGAUGAGGAGCUUGCUCCUCUGACGUUAGCGGCGGACGGGUGAGUAACACGUGGAUAACCUACCUAUAAGACUGGGAUAACUUCGGGAAACCGGAGCUAAUACCGGAUAAUAUAUUGAACCGCAUGGUUCAAUAGUGAAAGACGGUUUUGCUGUCACUUAUAGAUGGAUCCGCGCCGCAUUAGCUAGUUGGUAAGGUAACGGCUUACCAAGGCAACGAUGCGUAGCCGACCUGAGAGGGUGAUCGGCCACACUGGAACUGAGACACGGUCCAGACUCCUACGGGAGGCAGCAGUAGGGAAUCUUCCGCAAUGGGCGAAAGCCUGACGGAGCAACGCCGCGUGAGUGAUGAAGGUCUUCGGAUCGUAAAACUCUGUUAUUAGGGAAGAACAAAUGUGUAAGUAACUAUGCACGUCUUGACGGUACCUAAUCAGAAAGCCACGGCUAACUACGUG